AAAUGUGUAAGCAGGAUCCGAGCGUUCUGC
rnacentral:piRNA from 1 species